ensembl:lncRNA
GUUAUUAUGUCAGCCCAGAGGCGAAUGUUGGUAGGAUGGCAGUAGAGGUGGAAUCUUCCCACCAAUAUUCUCUUUCAUUCUGGUGCCAUGUGACAGAUGGCAGAAGAGGGGCAAUGUGACAAAAUGGUAUCUGACAUGGGAGUGCAUAAGAAGCAAUGGUGUGGAAGUGAAUGCCUCCAUGCAGAAAAAAGGGCACCAGCUGAUAUUCAUGGACACUCACUGAGUGCUUAUGGAGACCAAACAGUGGAUACAAACAGCCCAUAUCUGGUUAUCCAUCCCAAAGUCACCAGUGCUUAAGCAAGUGGCUGUCAGGUACUAAAUCAUCAGAGGAGCAGGAAAAGCUUUUGGGGAUACCUGAUCCCUUCUGCAGCCCAGAUAUUACUGUUGUGCUUUGCAAUGGUUGUGAGCAUGCUCGAUGUUUUCAGAUCUCUGCAAAAGGCAAGCUUCAUGACUCAUGCAAGACCAACAUGAAACAAGCUAUACUCAAUCUGAUUGUCCUGAAGGUCACUUUCAAAAUCUCCAGAGGCUUCAGAGAAAGGGAAGCUGAUGCUUUCUGAGUGCCUCAAAGAGCCAAAAGAGGAGAAUCUCACUUUAGACCAUUAAAAGAGAA